rnacentral:rRNA from 1 species
UACGUAGGUGGCAAACGUUGUCCGGAUUUACUGGGCGUAAAGAGCGCGCAGGCGGUCGUUCAAGUCGAGUGUGAAAGCCCCCGGCUCAACUGGGGAGGGUCACUCGAUACUGAUCGACUCGAAGGCAGAAGAGGGAAGCGGAAUUCCCGGUGUAGUGGUGAAAUGCGUAGAUAUCGGGAGGAACACCAGUGGCGAAGGCGGCUUUCUGGUCUGCUCUUGACGCUGAGGCGCGAAAGCUAGGGUAGCAAACGGG